rnacentral:rRNA from 1 species
UACAGGGGGGGCAAGCGUUGUUCGGAAUUACUGGGCGUAAAGGGCCCGUAGGCGGCCAACUAAGUCACACGUGAAAUCCCCAGGCUUAACCUGGGAACUGCGUGUGAUACUGGAUGGCUUGAAUUCGGGAGAGGGAUGCAGAAUUCCAGGUGUAGCGGUGAAAUGCGUAGAUAUCUGGAGGAACACCGGUGGCGAAGGCGGCAUCCUGGACCAACACUGACACUGAGGAGCGAAAGCCAGGGGAGCAAACGGG